AGAGACAUAACUGGGCAGUUCUGCACCCUGGAUAGUGGCCCAUGAAAUGGUAGCACAUCAGGACCAGAAGUGUAAUGGCUGUUAUUUUUGCCUCCCAACUCAGUGCCCAGAGCUGGUGUCCCAAUCAUCCCUUUAGCUAUGCUAUUGCUAUAUCAUGAUAUUAAAUGACCUUGUCAUUACAAGUCAAUUUACCAUAAAGCACUUAUGCAAAAAUAGAUUGAAAAGUGUAAUGCACUCAUGAUGUUUUUUGGGCAAAUGAAAAUAAAGCACAGAAAACCUGAUUCAAAAAGGGGUUGAGCAUUUUAAUUCUAGGCUAGCAAGGCACUUAAGCACACGCUUAACUUUAAACUCAAAAAUAGAUUAAUUAACCAACUUAAGUGCACAGUUCAAUACUUUGCUAGACUGGAGCCAAAGUACAAGUUCCUUGCAGAAUUAAGCCCAGAAUUCAGGAAAUACAAAGUUUAACUUUACAAGUUAGGUCAACAAUGGUCAAUUGCUUCUGCCUGAAUUGAAGUGUCAUAUUUGACCCAGUGAUUCUUCGGUGUAUUUUAGCUCUGUUAAUGUAUUGCCUAGUUUCUGAGAAAGCUGCCAGAAAUGUAAGUUCUGUAUUGUUUCAAAAGAACUUGUCAGCACGAUGAAAAUCGCAUUUCUUUUAUGCUUUACUGUCAGCUUAAGUUUUGUUCAGCUGUUUUCAUUUGUUUGAUUUUGAGAAAGGGAACAAUCUAUGCAAAGUAUUAAGCCAGCCUCUAGAUGCAUUAUUAUUUGCUAUAACCACACUUCAGCAAAACAGUCAAUAGAAAGGUCAAAUCCCCAGAUCACUGCUGAGUAAUUAAGUUGUUGAAUAUUUUGGGUGCUCACAGUCAUAAAGCAAGCUUUUACAUGAUGCACUUUCUAAUAAGAAUAUUAAAUGUGCACACUGCAGCAUGUUGAAAUGAUUUGGGACUCCAGUGCAAAUAUAGUCCCCUUAAGAAGGUGCUGUUUUAUCAUGUAUAUGUUUUGGUUGGUUCAUCAUCUUUAGGAUUUUUUUUUAAAAGGUACUCCUUGCAUCAAUUUUUUCCCUUUGUGUUUACCAGGGUCUCACUGAAUCAAUUUUGGUAAUUGACUCUCAGCAGAUUCAAUACAUUGCAGCCUUCCUAAGUGUCAUAUUGUGGGUGGUCCAUUUUAUUUUGAGUAUCUCUAGCCAAAUGUGAAUAGAAAACAGCUUUUUGUUCUGCAGUUUUGGACUUUAAACUUAAAUACCUACCAGAAUGUAAUCAUCCCCACACAACCCACUGCCAAUAAAUAACCUAUUAUGCUAUCCAGUGUUCCAGCUGAAUAGAAGCACUUUUCUUCAGCAGUGAGUUCAACUGGAAGCAUUCAAGCAAAAUAAUGGAUCAUCUUUUUUUUCACGUGAAAUGAGUUAGGUAUUUUACUAGAAAGGGAAACUAUUUUUGUGAAAAUACAGUAGAAGUUAUUUCUAUCUUAUUUCCAUGUUUGGUGUGUAUGAGUGAAAGCAAAAUAUGGUCUAGGGUCCUUUUACGUGUGCUGGGACAGAAUAUAGUGGUUUUGAGGUUAAGACAGUGAUGUAUUUAUUAUUAUUAUUAUUAUUAUUAUUAUUAUUGCUUUCUACUAAUUCCUAGGGAAGUCAAGGGAAGUUUAGCUAUUCACUGUACAAGCAUGUAAUAAAGAAGAGUUCCAGUCCCUCCUUGCUCACAACCUACAUGCUAGAUAGAGUGAAACAGAGGGAUGCCUACACAUGGACAUUUAAUAUUAGCCCAAUUUAAGGCUCAUUAAGGGCAUGCAUCUACACACCUUAAUUGCAAAUUGAGGCUGAUCCCACCCAAAUUUGAUACUGCAUAAAGCAAGUAUCAAAUUUAGGCACGAUUAAUUAAGGCACCUUAACACACAUGCAGCUGUGUUAAUGCACGUUAAUGCAGGGACUUUAGUGCUGGGUCUGCCCAACCACUAGGUGGCCAGCCAGAGCCCAUCCCCAAGGCUCCUGGCUGGACACCUCUCCCCCUCUAGGGCUGGACUGCUUUCUGGCAGCUCCCAGCUGCAGAAUAUAAAAGCCUCCAGCCAUUUUCUGCUUUGGGGCACAUAGUACAGGGAGCCUGAAGGAGCCAGUGCUAUCUGCAGGAGCCCACCAUGCCCUGUGUGCCCCUCUGGAUAGGACCCAGGCAGUCUCUGCCUGUCCUGUCCCCUAGUUGGACCUACUUCUUGGCCACAGGUCAUGGACAUUGGGUGCAGCUGGACACCAUAGCUGAUGGAGAGCCCCAUGCUAAGCGGCCAGCCUUGCCAGCCCUGGACACAUGGGCCACCACCCACUGCUGGAGCUGCCCACCUGCUGUUGGAGCUGCUCACUCACUGCUGGAGCUGCCCAGAUGUGCUGGCUGCACCACCAGUGCAUUAGGGACUGGACCCUCUUGCUCCAGUGGCUCGUGGAGGUGGUGGAGAACUGGGUAGCACAGGAACAGGUGCAGCAGCAGGUGCAGGAGGCACAGGAGCUAGCCUGGCAGGAGGAAGAUGUUGCCUGGGAGACUGCCUGGGAGGAGGCAUGGGUCGGGGUGCAGCAGGAAUACUGGGGCCAGCUGGGGGCUCUGGAGCAGCUCCAGAAGUAUGGAGCUGCUCCAGCAGCAGCUGGCCAGCCAGGACAGGCUAUUGGAGGCCAUUUCCAGGCUUCCCCCCAAACUUCCCCAGCCCUGGCCAUGCUGGGCCCCUGGAUUCCACCCACUGCUCUGCAACAGGCUCCCCACCUGGGCCUUGAAGGAGGGCCUCUACCACCUCCUGCCCAUAGGAGCCCCUGGCUUUUAUCAUGGCUCCCAGACCCACCCAGGAAAUGUCCAUGGCCAGGAUGCUGGCUGUCUGCCACUGGGCUUUGCACCCUAGGCACCCUUACCACACAGCCCCCCACUCUGCAACUCAGAGAAAGACAGAGACUUUUUCACACAGUUUUCAGUUUGGGAGGAGGGUUUUUUUUUAUUGUUGGUUGGUGGGGAUGGAGGUGGAGGGGAUCUGUGUGUUGGGAAGGCUGAGG